rnacentral:rRNA from 1 species
GACGAACGCUGGCGGCGUGCCUAACACAUGCAAGUCGAACGGGACUUAGUGGAAAGCGGCUUCGGCCAAUGGAAGCUAAGUUUAGUGGCGAACGGGUGAGUAACGCGUAAGAAACCUGCCUUUCAGUGGGGGACAACAGUUGGGAACGACUGCUAAUACCGCAUAAUGUAUUCGGGGGGCAUCCUCUGGAUACCAAAGCUCUAUGUGCUGAAAGAUGGUCUUGCGUCUGAUUAGCUAGAUGGCGGGGUAACGGCCCACCAUGGCGACGAUCAGUAGCCGGUCUGAGAGGAUGAACGGCCACAUUGGGACUGAGAUACGGCCCAGACUCCUACGGGAGGCAGCAGUGGGGAAUAUUGGGCAAUGGGGGAAACCCUGACCCAGCAACGCCGCGUGAAGGAAGAAGGCC